rnacentral:tRNA from 1 species
AGAGUAGUAGAGGAGUCAGGUUUAUCUCGCUGCAUUUGGGAUGCAGAGCACGCUGGUUCGAAUCCAGUCUACUCUA